UCCGCCGCCGCCCGCCCCGCUGCUGCCCCGUCCCGCUGCGGCUUUCUGGACGCCAUCCCCUCCUCACCUCGAAGCCAACAUGAAGGAGACCCGGGGCUACGGAGGGGGUGCCUCCUUCUGCACCCGCCCCAACCACUCCUACACUGGCAUGUGGGCACCCGAGCGCUCCGCCGAGGCGCGGGUCAACCUUACGCGCCCUCUAGGGUCCGGCGAGGAUUGCGGAUCGGUGUCCGUGGCCUUCCCGAUCACCAUGCUGCUCACGGGUUUCGUGGGCAACGCUCUGGCCAUGCUGCUAGUGUCGCGCAGCUACCGGCGCCGGGAGAGCAAGCGCAAGAAGUCCUUCCCGCUGUGCAUCGGAUGGCUGGCGCUCAGCGACCUGGUCGGGCAGCUUCUCACCACCCCGGUGGUCAUCGUCGUGUACCUGUCCAAGCAGCGCUGGGAGCAGCUCGACCCAUCUGGGAGGCUCUGCACGUUCUUCGGGCUGACUGUGUUCCGGCUCUCCUCGCUGUUCAUCGCCAGAGCCAUGGCCGUCGAGCGGGCGCUGGCCAUCAGGGAGCCGCACUGGUACGCGCGCCACCUGCGCUGUGCUGCUCGGCGUGUGGCUGGCCGUGCUCGCCUUCUCCCUGCUGCCCGUGCUGGGAGUGGGACAGUACACGGUGCAGUGGCCCGGGAUGUGGUUCUUCAUCAGCACCAGGCGAGGGGGGCAACGGGACUAGCUCUUCCCAUAACUGGGGCAACCUUUUCUUCCCCUCUGCCUUUGCCUUCCUUGGGCUCUUGGCGCUGACAAUCACCUUUGCCUGCAACCUGGCCACCAUUAAGGGCCUGGUGUCCCGCUGCCGGGCCAAGGCCACGGCAUCUCAGUCCAGUGCCCAGUGGGGCCACAUCACGACCGAGACCGCCAUUCAGCUCAUGGGUAUCAUGUGCAUGCUGUCGGUCUGCUGGUCUCCGCUACUGGAAGUGCCUGAACAACAGUCUGGGGUUCGGAAGCCCAGCAGCUCCUUCAGGUCAUGCAAUCAAGCAGGAUUGGGUAUUCCUGAGAUAGGAGGAGGAAGUAAGGUGGCAGACCUGGCGAACGAAGAAAAGCCUGCCAUUGCUCCGCCCGUCUUUGUGUUUCAGAAGGAUAAAGGACAAAAGAGGUCAGCUGGCAGCUCCAGUCCUGGAGGCGGAGAAGAUUUUGAUCAAGAAGAUGGAAAUUACUGGCCUCCUGUGAAGCGAGAAAGAACGUUCUCUUUAACCCAGUUCCCACCCUCACAGUCACCAGAGGAAAGGAGCAGUGGCUUCGGGUUGAAGCCGCCAAGGCUGGUCCAUGGCCAGGCCCCCAGUGCAGGUCUGCCAAGCCAGGAGCCCAGGGAAAAGCAGCGGAGCAUGCUUCGUACGGCAGUGAUCAGGCCCCCAGCAGUGGCACCAAUGGGGUCAGCCUCCCAGCCGACUGCACGGAGCAGCAUCCCCUGACAACCCUGCACGGAAGAGUCCUUCCCAAGCUGCCAACGAGGUGUGUGCACUUGAGGAGAAAGAGCCCCAGAAAAAUGAGUCCAGCGAUGCCUCUGAAGAGGAAGCCUGUGAGAAAAAAGACCCCACCACACUACAAGCGUUUGUACUUGGGCAGAACUUGAGGGACGGAGUUAAGCUGAUCAAUGAGAGUGCGGACAAAGCCGACAUGGAGAGUGCUGGACACCCCAGUGCAGACACGCCAGCCGGACAAACUAUUUCCUUCAGCGUAUCAGUUCCAGUUUAGAGAACUCAACCAAUAGUGCCGAUGCCUCCAGCAACAAACUCGUAUUUGGCCAGAAUUUGAGUGAGCGAGUUUUGAGCUUUCCAAAAUUAAAUGAGGUCAGUUCAGAUGCCAGUAGGGAAAAUGCAGCUGCCAACGCGGGGUCCACGUCCUCAUCCCAAGAGGCCACCCCCGAGAAGGAGUCCCUGGCCAAGUCGGCAGCUGUUGGAAAAAAGUGGAAGUCAUCACGGGGAGGAGGCGGAGAGCAACGUGUUACAGAUGCAGUGCAAGCUCUUCGUCUUUGACAAGGCCUCACAGUCCUGGGUGGAGAGAGGCCGGGGGCUGCUCAGACUCAAUGACAUGGCGUCCACUGACGAUGGCACGCUACAGUCCCGACUAGUAAUGCGGACCCAGGGGAGCCUGCGACUGAUCCUCAACACCAAGCUGUGGGCCCAGAUGCAGAUCGACAAGGCCAGCGAGAAGAGCAUCCGCAUCAUGGCCAUGGACACCGAGGACCAGGGCGGGAAGGUCUUCCUGAUCUCGGCCAGCUCCAAGGACACAGGUCAGCUGUAUGCAGCCCUGCAGCACCGCAUCCUGGCCUUAGGCAGCCGCGGGGAGUGGGAGCAGGUGGCCAAGAUGCCCGCCCCGGAGCCUGGAGCAGCCCCAUCCAACGAGGAGGAUGACAGUGACGGACGAUGUCCUGGCUCCUUCAGGGGCAACUGCAGCCGGUGCUAAUGACGAAGGGGAUGGGCAGACGACUGGGAGCACAUAGCGGCCGGGAGCCCAGCUGCACACCAGGCUGCUGCUUUGUCCGUCUAUCCGCCUGCCCACCCGCCCCAACCCCACAGGCAGCUUCCAGGUGCCCGGCUGGGAAACACACACCCCGCUGGGCCGGCCACAGUCUGGACCCGCGUGUCCUGUUCAAAAGCAGACUCAGAAACUGCCUGAAUGUGUUUUGGGACAUGAGACCUCAUCAUACUGAUGGGCGAAACAAACAAGAACAUUUCCUCCCUCUUCUCCUUUCAAUUGAAAUGGCACAUUAAGACUCGUCACAGCCUCUCA